rnacentral:misc_RNA from 1 species
GAUGAAGAACGUAGCGAAAUGCGAUAAGUAGUGUGAAUUGCAGAAUUCAGUGAAUCAUCGAGUCUUUGAACGCACAUUGCGUCCCCUGGUAUUCCGGGGGGCAUGCCUGUCCGAGCGUCAUUGCUGCCCUCAAGCACGGCUUGUGUGUUGGGCUCCGUCCCCCCGGGGACGGGCCCGAAAGGCAGCGGCGGCACCGAGUCCGGUCCUCGAGCGUAUGGGGCUUUGUCACCCGCUCUGUAGGCCCGGCCGGCGCGAGCCGACAACCCAUCAUCCUUUUCAGGUUGACCUCGGAUCAGGUAGGGAUACCCGCUGAACUUAAGCAUAUCAAUAAGCGGAGGA